ACACUUGUUUGCAGAGUGGCUUCAGUGGUUUAUAGUCCCAUUAACAUUUAAUGAGGGCUCCACUUUCCCCGCAGCAGGCGUGUGCUGCUGUUACUGGUCUUUGCCACUUUGAUUGAGAGCACGGAGGGAUUUUUCCACGCCACAACUCUGCUGGAUCUCCUGAAGACCAGGCAGACCCAACGACACUAGACAGACGGACUGGGGAUUUCUCCAUCACUGUUGCACAUAAGAAGAGUGGUGAUAGGAAGAGUGGACACAGCAGUGUUCAUACCAGGCACUGUCCUGGAGCCAGUGAUGCCAGAGGGAGCAAGCCUCCUACCCUACAAAACUCAUCUCCUGUGACCUUCUAGCCUGAGUCAAGCUGGGAUCGUCAUUGCUCUGUGUGGGCAAGGUUACAUCACAGCUUGGCAGUCUCUCCCUUUGGACCAGGGUCUGCGGUGCAGGAGAUGGAAGAAGAGAAGACGGCAGCAAUAAAGCAAUUUCUACUGGUUAAAUAGCUUCCUGCCACUGCCUAGAUCUCUGCUGCUAUCAGAAUGAGUUGUGAAAGUUCUUAUGAGGAGGAGGAAAUGGUUACUGCAGGAGACUCAUCACUGAUGAAACUGGAAUAGGUUACUCUUUCUGUAAUGGGGGUACUAUUUCUGUAGUAUGGUAGCCCAAUGCUCACUCACUCAAUAAAGGACUAUACAAAUACCAGCUGACAUUCAAGAACCUGGACACGUCAUAGAGGAAAAUCAGAGGAAAGGCAUGGCUAUAAACCCACAGUGACCAACAGCGACAAAUAGCACUAUUCAAAAAUGAUGAAAAGCCCACUUCUUUGUUAAGCUGAUUACAUAACAGUUUCGUGUGCUAGAGACAAACAAUGCUUAUUUUAGGUCUCAUCAACAUAGUUUCUUCCACUUGACCUGAUAAUUGUCUGACAGGUGGUCACAAGACCAUAUCACUAUAACCUCAGUUAACAUGUAUACCUCAAAUGGAUUGCAUUGACCUUUCACACUUUCUUCUAUCAGGAAGAAAUUAGAAACUUCAACUUAAUGACAGCAUAUAGGAAAGAACCCAUGAAAAGUUAGAGAAAAAAGAGAUGAAGAAAGCAAAGAGUAAAUAUAAAAUAAGGAAGACACAAGCAAUAUUCUUCGAAGAUCCGUAUGGUCUCAUAAAGGAGUAUAUCAUGAUAUACUUUAUUAUACAACAAAGUUCUAUUAAAAAGAUAGUGUGGAUUUACUUUCUUCUGCUUAUAAUCAACAGAGCAUUCCUUUAAGAAUUUUUGUUAUACACAUAUGCUGGGAAGGCCAAUUGCAGGGUGCGUGGUGUCUGCAUAUGUAGCUCUGAGGAAACAAGUAGAAUUAUUGCAGUUAUGGAUAUCUAAAAGCCAGGCUCACAGUACACGAAAUCAUCAAUCUUUUAAAAAUAUUCAAGUAUAUGGUUAUUACUUCUAGAUUUAAUUUAUUCCCAAUUAAGUUGUCUUAUUACCAGACUUAUGUAUUCCAUUUUCUAAAUACCCCUAUUUGUUUGCUUCUCUGUAUUUCAUAUAAAUGUAUCAAUUCCUAGUCAUAAUUCCUUGCAUCCCUUAUUCCAGCACACAUCCCAUUAAUAUUUGCUGAAUGGAGAUUUUAUGAUUAAAGUAAGUUGCUUACUUUGGGUCCAAAA
rnacentral:lncRNA from 1 species